GACGAACGCUGGCGGCGUGCUUAACACAUGCAAGUCGAACGGAAAGGCCCUGCUUUUGUGGGGUGCUCGAGUGGCGAACGGGUGAGUAACACGUGAGUAACCUGCCCUUGACUUUGGGAUAACUUCAGGAAACUGGGGCUAAUACCGGAUAGGAGCUCCUGCUGCAUGGUGGGGGUUGGAAAGUUUCGGCGGUUGGGGAUGGACUCGCGGCUUAUCAGCUUGUUGGUGGGGUAGUGGCUUACCAAGGCUUUGACGGGUAGCCGGCCUGAGAGGGUGACCGGCCACAUUGGGACUGAGAUACGGCCCAGACUCCUACGGGAGGCAGCAGUGGGGAAUAUUGCACAAUGGGCGGAAGCCUGAUGCAGCAACGCCGCGUGCGGGAUGACGGCCUUCGGGUUGUAAACCGCUUUCGCCUGUGACGAAGCGUGAGUGACGGUAAUGGGUAAAGAAGCACCGGCUAACUACGUGCCAGCAGCCGCGGUGAUACGUAGGGUGCGAGCGUUGUCCGGAUUUAUUGGGCGUAAAGGGCUCGUAGGUGGUUGAUCGCGUCGGAAGUGUAAUCUUGGGGCUUAACCCUGAGCGUGCUUUCGAUACGGGUUGACUUGAGGAAGGUAGGGGAGAAUGGAAUUCCUAGUGGAGCGGUGGAAUGCGCAGAUAUCAGGAGGAACACCAGUGGCGAAGGCGGUUCUCUGGGCCUUUCCUGACGCUGAGGAGCGAAAGCGUGGGGAGCGAACAGGCUUAGAUACCCUGGUAGUCCACGCUGUAAACGGUGGGUACUAGGUGUGGGGUCCAUUCCACGGGUUCCGUGCCGUAGCUAACGCUUUAAGUACCCCGCCUGGGGAGUACGGCCGCAAGGCUAAAACUCAAAGGAAUUGACGGGGCCCCGCACAAGCGGCGGAGCAUGCGGAUUAAUUCGAUGCAACGCGUAGAACCUUACCUGGGUUUGACAUGGAUCGGGAGUGCUCAGAGAUGGGUGUGCCUCUUUUGGGGUCGGUUCACAGGUGGUGCCUGGCUGUCGUCAGCUCGUGUCGUGAGAUGUUGGGUUAAGUCCCGCAACGAGCGCAACCCUUGUUCACUGUUGCCAGCACGUUAUGGUGGGGACUCAGUGGAGACCGCCGGGGUCAACUCGGAGGAAGGUGGGGAUGACGUCAAGUCAUCAUGCCCCUUAUGUCCAGGGCUUCACGCAUGCUACAAUGGCUGGUACAGAGAGUGGCGAGCCUGUGAGGGUGAGCGAAUCUCGGAAAGCCGGUCUCAGUUCGGAUUGGGGUCUGCAACUCGACCUCAUGAAGUCGGAGUCGCUAGUAAUCGCAGAUCAGCAACGCUGCGGUGAAUACGCUCCCGGGGCU
rnacentral:rRNA from 1 species